UUGAGAGUCAUCACUGAAUAUUUAGCAAACAAAAGUCAUCACUGAAUACUUAGCAAACAAAAGUCACUCAUAGUCCCUCCCCCCAAUACAUUUUCAUUUAUACAACUUGUACACCAUUUGUGAAGUUAGAGAGCUGAUUUUGGCAGAAGAAAAUUAUUAAAUUAUUUGUAAUCUCAUGUUUUCUGCAUCAGUUUGGUGCAUUUGUUGUUUCUUCAUCAGUGUUUCUUAAUUUGGAGUUUAGGUGUCCCGAGUGACAUUUGACACUUUUAUUCUAUACUCAGAUUGUAAUGUCAUCCAUCAUGAUGUGGCAGGUCAGCUCAUAAGUUUCUCAUCAUAAUAGUACUGAGUUAGUUGAUAAGAUGUGUCUUAUAUAUAAUACACUUUGAAGGUAAUUUGCAAAAUGCUGGUGAACUGAAUGGGUGAGUAAACAAGUAGAAUUUCAAAGCUUCCCAACAGAUUGAAACUAUGUGCUGGUCUGAGACCGGACCUGGACACCUGUCUUUCACAGGGUCUACACAGUAUAGUAAUAUCCAGAGAUGAGUCUUGCAGUGCCUCACAUCUUCUGUCUGCCAGUGGUUCUUUCCUAACAAACUGAAACUGUGUGCUGUGCCUUCUGAACUUGGUGCUUAUUUUUAUUUUUGUGUGUAAUGAUGACUUUUGCAAAUAUCAUGUUGUUUACAAAGAAAUAGUAUGUAUCACAUUUGUGUAUAAAUGUUAAUACACGACAUAACUAGUUACGAUUGUUAAUACACACUGCAGCUUAGAGUUCUUUCAGUGACUACAGACAUUUAUAUGCAAGAAAAGAUUUUAAUUUUGUUUUAAAUGGAUCCUCAGUAUGUGCUCUUAUGGAUUCUGGCAGUUUGUUGUACCACAUUGAAACCACAGAUAUGUACACUGUGUUCUGUUGCUUUAAACUUUAUUCCUUGUCUGUAUUAACUAUGCUCAUUUCUUGUGUUACGAUUAUGUACAUCAUAACAUUUGGAUCUAUCACCCUGUCAAAACACACAGACACACCCACACACUCGAGUAUACAGUGAGAUAUUUAUUUUUGAUAAGAACAAUGCAACAGGUGUCCCUGUAUCCCAGACCAUGUAUCAGCCUAACCCCACAUCUCUAUUCUGUAACUAGAUUAGUGAACUUAACAAAUCAGAAAAUUGUCCUUUAGUACACCGUUUUCAGGUUUUUAUUACAUACAAUGUCAGACUUUUGGCUAAGCAGUUACAGUACACUUAUUUUUAUGCAUACAAAGUUAAUAUGGUUUUUCUAUCAAAGAUUGCCAUCUGAGUGCAGACCAAGAAAUUUACAGUCUUGAUUGUCAGUACAUGAAAUUCCACAAAUAUUUUGUACAUAUCUACCUGCUUUGAACUCCAGGAACUGUGAUGUUGUGGUACUCACUUUUAGGCCUAGGUCACUAAAAUAUUUAGUCACUCAUGAUCAUUGUCACCAUAAAACAGCAGAGAGCUGUCAUCAGUGUUUAGUAAUUAUAUGGCAAUAGGAAACUUGUACAAAAAUCGUUUACAUAUACAAGAAAAAGAAAUAGUCCCAAUAUUGACCCCUGUGGCAUGCCUUACGUUGCCGUUUGUUGUCACUGAAUGUUAAUUUUUGGUUUGCCACCUUGGUAAUUUAUAUUUGUGUUUAUGGCAUUCUGAGUAUGUAGACAGAAGUUCAAGAGAUAUUUAUGUGCUAUUGCAUACCUCCAGUUUCUGCAGGAGAAGUGCUUGCUUGUCCAGACCAAAAGCCUUUGAGAGGUCUAUAAAUAUGCCCACAAUAUUCUUUUCUUCAUAUGCAUAGCUAUAGACUUUGUGCAGAAAUUCUGUGACAGCUGUUGUGGUAUUGUGAUCUUUUUUUGAAAUCUAUUUUUUUUUUAUUUAAGAAAAAAAAGGCACUAAGCAGUGCCAGCAUGUAGGACUCAGUGAUAUUGGUCUGUAAUUUGAUAUUUUUUCCUUUGACCUUUUUUAUGAAUUUGUCUGACUGUUCCUUUUCAGUGCAUUUGCUGCAUUUUUGAUGCUACAGUUGAUUGCUAUAUCCAAUUAGUUUAACCUCAACAUUAAUGCAUUUUUUAACUGCUGAGAUGGAAAGGCCGUUUCAACCAUUUGAGUGUUUAAUUUUUUGAGGAAAUAAAGCUAUCUUGCUUAUCUCAUUCCUUUACUUCCUCAAAUUCAGAUCAGUUACCUGUUGUAUUGCAGUGUAUUGUGUUGGAUCUGUGUCUGGAAUUAUGGUGCCACUCGGGAAAACAAAAUGCUUGUUAAGAAUGUUACAGUUUUUUGAUCUUGUGUCAGUUGACCUUCAUGUCUGUAUUUAUUUCUUCCCCUUCUGUAUUCAUACAUGAUUUAUGCUAUUUGUUAAUGAGAUUCCAGGAGCCGCAGCCCACAUUUGCUGACUAUCCUAGUGAAUCAAUCUUUGUUUUGUACUGGUAUAAUUUUCUCUGAAAAUGUGAUGCCUAGAUGAUUUGUACAGUGUACAGAGGUCAUGCAUUUUCUGUCUGUAUGAACAUUCUCGGAGAACGUGGCUCACAAAAGGCAAGGAUACACAUUUCAGUCAAGAUCUGGUACAUAAGUUUAAUUGUUCAGAAUGUUUCAUAGAGAGUAUUUACCUUUUCAUAAACUGCUGAGUCCUAUUAAGAAAUAUUUGUGUGGACAUUUUACUCUUAGAAUGUGUAUGAAAUCUUUUGUGAUACUUUCACCACUCCCCAAGCCUGUUAAGAUUGUCAUAAAGUAUGUGAGUGAUGAUUCUGUAAGUUUAUGGUGAAAUAAUGGCGUGCAGUCAUAUAAUUAAUAAAUCUAAUUUUAAAAUGUUAUAUGCAUUUUCAUAGCUUAUUGAAAAGAUUUGUCCACUUUGUUACAGACAUGUCAGAGUUAAUGUUCACUUGAUUGUUGAAGAUAAAGCAUUUCAUACCCAGAGCAAAAUUUGUUUCUUGAGGAAGAUUAAGCAAUCUUUAAUAUGUGCUUUUCCAUUAAAAAUGCAUUUCGUACGAUGUUGAGUGUGAUAAUUGUGACAGAAUAUCAUAUUAUCAGAAGAUGAUAACAGUGUGAGGAUAGGUGAGAAGUGGUUACAGUAAGCUCUAGAUUGUACAGUAAUUGUGUGUGUCAGCAAGGUUAGGAAACAUAUUGCAACUAAAAAUUAUAUAGUAUAAAAAGCCAGCUUUUGAGUACAUAUCUGUAGUAACACUUUAAAAGAGAACUGGAUGGAGAAGAUGAUGUUAUAAUUUAGUCAUGUAACGAACAUGCCCCUUUACACAAUGUAUCUCCUGUUCCAGAGAGAAUUUUACAGAACAGAUUUGUUUGUCACACUUAUUUGAGGUAAUUGAGCUAGCUAAUUUUCAAUGUUGAUGCAUAAAAAGGUGACAAGCUGUGAAGUGUAAAAAUUUUCAUAACUGCUGGCAAAAUAUUUAUAGCAUAGAGAACUGAAUUAUUUCUUAAUUGUGCCAGAAAAUCUACUUACUUUGUAUAUGUAUAUUUCAGACCUCCUGCUGUCUCAAAUGUGUUUUCGUGAUCCAUGGACACAAACUGCAGGAUCUAAGUCUCCAUAUACUCGCAGAUUUGAAUGCACAAAGUGUGGAAAAUCUUACAUGCAGAAGAAAACUCUCAAUAGACAUGUGAAAUUAGAGUGUGAUAAAAAGCCGCAGUUUAGCUGUCCGUAUUGCCCACAUCGGUCUAAACAAAAAAGUAAUCUGCAGCAGCACGUAAUUGCUAAGCAUACUGUCCUUUGACUGUAGGCCCAUGUUCAAACCAGCUUAUACACAAAAUUAGCCUUAGAACACUCACUAAAUUAUAAGUUGUGAUGUGACAUCAUUUUCAAAUUUUAUUGCGUACUGUUUCUAGUUUUGUUUACGACAUUCAGUUUCUUUUUUCUGUCACAGUUACAAAAAUACUGUUAAUAUUAAGCUCCUGGAAAGGCAGAUCUGAUUUUAUUUGUAUAUUAUUUAGUGUGAUUCAUGAUAAGGAUAAACCUUAAGUGUUCAUCAGAAAUAGACUCUAAAAUAAUGUUUGAUUAUGUUAAUUGAUAUUCCAUUACUUCUUGGUAGAACGACUUCAUAAUUAGGAAUGAAAAGCACAGAAUUGUGUAUGUUCUAUAGUACUAAAUAAAAAUUAAAAUAAUUGAAAUCUUGUAUGCUUGAACUAUCUUUUGUUGUUGGAGUCUUAAAAGUAAAUGUGCCUGAUGUUCUGUUUUGGAUGGUUAUUAAAGUCAAGUACAUUAUGUACAUUUAUUCAGUUUUUUUAAUAAUAAUUUAGGCACUUAAUUCCAUCUUUUUAGAGCAAGAAGUUAAACAGCAUUCCUGUUUGGUUUGAUUUCUUUUCUUCUUUCCAUGGCAUGAAGUUAAAAAUUAAAAUCUGGGAUGUAAUGACUCAUUCAUUUUGCAUGUGGUUGAGUUGGUGGAUAGAAAAUGCCAGACGGACUGGACUGGUUUAUUUAGCAAACAUACAUUGCAUAAUUUUUUAAGUGGUGCGUUUAUGAUAGCAACGAAAUACGCUUAUAACUGGUGUUAAGUAUGUUAUUUUAUUUGUGUAACAUGUGUUUGUUGAUAAAUUGAUUCAAAUAAUACUUGAUGCUACAUAAACAUUGAUCACAUUAACUUAUGGUCUAAAUUAUUUUCAGUGUAACUUGUUCACUCUGAGAAGGAUUUACAUAAAAUGAACUGUGAAUUAGUACGUUCAGCACUUUCAUAAUCCAGUAUGAGUGUUGUUGGGGGUGGGAUUGGGACUACAUUUUUCUUCUCUCAGCUAGUUGAAUCAGGUUGACAUUUUGUUUGUUUUUAACGAGGAAACAAAAGAUUUUAGACUUAAUGGCCUGAAGUAAGAAAAUGUUUCACUUAGAAUUGCGAGGAUCUAGACUCAAAUAAAAGUUUUGCCAUGCUAUUUGACACUAUCCCUCUACACUCCUAGAUUCUGAUAUGAUCUUUCGUGAGAGCCAAGGCUCAAUGUGUUGUUAAGGAGAGCAAGAAAAGUUCAUGGCAAGGGUGCCUGGUCUGUAUCAAUUGACCUACUUGUUCUACAAAAGUAUUUGAAGUCAUCCAGAAGAUUUCCGGUGAACAUAGUUGUUAACCAAUAGCAGCAGUGCUGAAAUAGGGGUGUCUCGAAACAGUGCUCAGAGACGUUGCUCAGAUGAUGGCAGAGCAUUUUGCAACAACUAAAGCCAAUGUCAACAAGGAUCUGGUGUUCCGCUGCUGCCGUGCAACUGCAGAGAGGGGCAAGUUGGACUUCAGAUCCCACGUUCUGUGUCUUGCAACCACUCUUUCUCCAUGUAGGAGCUUGAAUUGGCGCUGUCUGAGACUCUUGAUACUGCACCUGGUCACAACCAGUAGCGGUACUGCAAGCUUAGACAUUUCCCGGCAGCAUCAAAGGGAAUCCUCCUCAAAUGUUUUAAUCUUAUUUGGCAGAUGGACAACUUCCCCAACUUGUGGAGAGAGGCAAUUCUGAUAUCUCUCCUCAAGCAAGGGAAGAACUGCACAUGUCCCAGUAGUUACUGGAGUGUCACCUUGACGAACUGUGUAGGAAAGUCUUUGGAGCAAGUGGUUAAUUGUUGUUUGGUCUGGUCGAUAGAGACCAGGCAACUCCUUAGCUGCUCUCAGUGAGGAUUCCGGCGACUUCGGUCAUUGUUGACAAACUGAUCCUACUAGAGGCCUUUCGUGUGUAAACAUCACUGUCUCGGUAUAUUCUUUUUAUCAUUAAGGACACUACUCGGAGACACAGUAUUCUCAUGCAACUCAGUCAAUGGGGCUUUGGAGGCUUCCUCCCCAUCUUCAUAUGGUCCUUUCUGUUUAAGUCCUUUUUUUAUGUCCCGAAUUAGAGACUUGCUGUUGGAUUGUUUUGAGUAAGACAGUGAUAUUCCUCAAGGCAGUGUUUUAAGUGUUACCCUCUUUGCCAUGGCCAUACAUCAGGUCUACAGUAAGGAAUCCUGUACAGUUCCCUUUAUUUGUGGGCGAUUUUGCUUUUUUCUGUUCCUCGUCCAGAAUUGCAACGGUGACUCAUCAGUUGCAACUUACAGUGCGGAGGUUAGAGGAGUGGAUUGCGAAGACGUAUUCUCAGUUUUCUGCAGAUAAGUUCCUUUCAUACUUUUAAUUUACCUGACUUGCGUAUGAAGGACAUCAUUCUACAUUUGGAAAACUCAGUGAAGUUUCUAGACAUCAUUUUUUACUUCAAACUGUCAUGGUUCCCACAUCUGAGAGACCUGAAAGCCAGAACUCAGAAGGCACGAAAUAUCAUAAAGUGCCUUUGCCACGUGUCUCGGGGAGCAGAUGCUUACAUGACCAGCCCCAUACACAGUCUGUGUGCCGAGGUUGGAGAGCUGCCACUCACCAUCCGGCGGCAGCUCUUCGUGGUGCGCUAGGCAUAUGCUGGAAAGUUAUGCAACUCUGCCACGCUGCAGACUUCCCACGGACAGCCUGCUGAAAUGCCUAGUGACUCUUCUUUGACACAACCUUUGUACAUAAAGUCCACUGCAUUGUAGGCAGCCACAGCCUGCUUGUAUAGAGACUGCUGGAGACUGUGCUGGAAAGCUGUGGUACUUUACUGUGCUACAGCCUCCACUUGGACAGUCUGCUGACUUGCCAAGCAACUCCUCUUUGCCACAACUUUUGUAUACUACAUCCACUGGAUUAAGUAACCAGCCACAACCUGUUUGUACAGAGACUACUGGUAUUUCUAGCCAACCUCAUAUGUCUCACAUACCAUAUGUACACUCGACUGAAUCACACACACUCAUUCCAGUGUCACAGGUGCCUUGUGUUCUUCCCACAAAUUUGCCAAGGUUAUCACAGGGUUCAGUGUCUAGAACUGCCAAAGAUUCUCAAACUCCCAGAGACAGUAAAGUGGAGACAGCAUACUAUUGCCCUGAGUGCCCAUAUGCUGCAAAACGAGAAUGCAAUCUUUUGCGACAUAUGUGUAUGUGCCAUAGGAAGUUUAAAUGAAUAAAUUGUAACACACACACUCACACACACACAUUGAUUUGAAAGAGCAGAAAGGCCAUAAAUGUGGGAAAAUUGAUGUAUUGUUCAAUACACACAACUUGUGCAAAGA